rnacentral:rRNA from 1 species
ACGUAGGGGGCAAGCGUUGAUCGGAAUCACUGGGCUUACAGCGCGUGUAGGCGGGGCGGCAAGUCUUCUGUGAAAGCCCCCGGCUCAACCGGGGAAUUGCAGUGGAAACCGCCGCUCUUGAGGCAGGUAGAGGUGACCGGAACGUGAGGUGGAGCGGUGAAAUGCGUAGAUAUCACACGGAACGCCGGUGGUGAAGACGGGUCACUGGGCCUGUCCUGACGCUGAGGUGCGAAAGCUUGGGGAGCAAACGG